rnacentral:lncRNA from 1 species
CUGUCCCGCAGGAGGAGUCCCCGGGCCCCUCGGAGCGGCCGCCGCCGGGGCUGAGCCCUGCGAUCCCCUCGCCGGGCGGGGAUGAGGGCAGGUCCCGCCGGGGGCACGCGCAGGCUGCGCACCCAGGACAAGGACACUUUGGGAGUGAGCAUCUUCCGGGGACGCUGCUGCUGGGAGAUGAGUUGCGGAACAAGCUAUAUAGUUUAUACACACACACAGGACAUGAAGAUCUUUGAGGGUGACCAACUCAUGGCAUUUGAGCCAAGAAAGAAGGCUUUGUUUGUUGUCACGUUGAGAUGUUUAUAUCCCUGCCCAACCAUUUCUUAAAAGGGGAGCAGGGAAUAGGGGACUUGGGAAGUCCACCUUCCUUAUUUUUGAAGUAUAUGGAAUUAUAAACACCUAUCAUAGAAUUGGUAUGCUGAUUAUAUAUGUUAAUACAUGAAAACAUUAGAACAAUUGGCAUAUAUUAAGUACCCAAAAUGUAUUCUGUAUUGCUGCUAUUGUGAUAGAAUGAGAUAAUGCAUCUAAAAGCACUACUUGAUUUAUAGUAAGUUGUUAAUAAGUGUCACCUGUUUUUAUUGGCCCUCUCUCUAGAGAAAUUACAUUUACAUACACAAACAAAUUACAUAUGUCCUCAAGAGUUUAUGGAGCCCUAGAGACCUGGCUAAGCCUUCUAAUAGGCCUCAGAGAUACGAUGAUGAAUAAGAAAGACAUCGUUCCUGACUUCAUGGUGCUUUUUAGCUAAGCAGUGUCCAAGGAUUGUCCUAAAUAUGUUCAGUGGUCAGAAGAUGGGCUUAAGAUCUGGGCACAAAUUUCAGCCUUGCUCUCUGCCAGCUGUGUAUCCUUGAAUAAGUUAAUAUUUCUGUGCCUGAGUUUUAAAAACUUAUAAAAUGAGGAUAAUAGUCAUUACUUGCAAAGUAUAUGUGUAUUAAUUCUUGUAUUAUUUAUAUCAAACAUUUUAUCUGUUGAAUGUUUGAUACUUUGUCUAUAUUUCAGUAAAGAAGAAUCACAUUUAUCUAUGAAAGCAAAAAGUCAACAUAAACAUCUAGGCAAUGUCUCUCCAUCUCAUUUAAAGUAUUGGCUAAUAAUGUCAUCUGGGCACAUUAAUUUAGUUUAGUUUUUUUUUUAUUUUUGAAUCUUUGAGUAUUGUUCCUCUAGUUCAUACACUGUCUCAUGUUUUGCUCGUGCUCUUAGCUUACUUAGGAUUAUGACAUCUGUCCCAGUAUUUGCUCUUUUUUUUUUUAAAGAUUUUAUUUGUUUAUUCAUGAGAGACACAGAGAGAGAGGUAGAGACAUAGGCAGAGGGAGAAGCAGGCUCAUGCAUGGUGCUCAAUACCAGGACCCCAGGAUCACAACAUGAGUGGAAGGCAGAUGCUCAACCACUGAGCCAACCAGUUGCCCUUGCUCGUUUGUUUCUUUUGCAUUUACUUGUUUCAGAUAUCAUGGUUAUAAGUUGCACAUAAGGGAUGCCUGGGUGGCUCAGUGGUUGAGCGUCUGCCUUUGGCUCAGGAUAUGAUCUUGGAGUUCCAGGGUCAAGUCCUGCAUCGGGCUCUCCUGCUUCUCUCUCUGCCUAUGUCUCUGCCUCUCUCUCUGUGUCUCUCAUGGAUAAAUAAAUAAUACAAUCUUAAAAAAAAUGUUUAAAAU